rnacentral:rRNA from 1 species
UACGUAGGCAGCAAGCGUUGUUCGGAGUUACUGGGCGUAAAGGGUGCGUAGGCGGCCUUAUAAGUAUGGUGUGAAAUCUCCCGACUUAACUGGGAGGGUGCGCUAUAGACUGUGGGGCUAGAGUGUGGGAGAGGAAAGUGGAAUUCCUGGUGUAGCGGUGAAAUGCGUAGAUAUCAGGAGGAACACCGGUGGUGUAAACGGCUUUCUGGACCAUAACUGACGCUGAGGCACGAAAGCGUGGGUAGCAAACAGG